rnacentral:tRNA from 1 species
UGCGCUGUAGAGCAGCCAGGUUAGCUCGCUAGGCUCAUGCCCUGGAGGUCGUAGGUUCAAAUCCUACCGGCGCUA